GAUGAACGCUGGCGGCGUGCCUAAUACAUGCAAGUCGAGCGAACGGACGAGAAGCUUGCUUCUCUGAUGUUAGCGGCGGACGGGUGAGUAACACGUGGAUAACCUACCUAUAAGACUGGGAUAACUUCGGGAAACCGUAGCUAAUACCGGAUAAUAUUUUGAACCGCAUGGUUCAAAAGUGAAAGACGGUCUUGCUGUCACUUAUAGAUGGAUCCGCGCUGCAUUAGCUAGUUGGUAAGGUAACGGCUUACCAAGGCAACGAUGCAUAGCCGACCUGAGAGGGUGAUCGGCCACACUGGAACUGAGACACGGUCCAGACUCCUACGGGAGGCAGCAGUAGGGAAUCUUCCGCAAUGGGCGAAAGCCUGACGGAGCAACGCCGCGUGAGUGAUGAAGGUCUUCGGAUCGUAAAACUCUGUUAUUAGGGAAGAACAUAUGUGUAAGUAACUGUGCACAUCUUGACGGUACCUAAUCAGAAAGCCACGGCUAACUACGUGCCAGCAGCCGCGGUAAUACGUAGGUGGCAAGCGUUAUCCGGAAUUAUUGGGCGUAAAGCGCGCGUAGGCGGUUUUUUAAGUCUGAUGUGAAAGCCCACGGCUCAACCGUGGAGGGUCAUUGGAAACUGGAAAACUUGAGUGCAGAAGAGGAAAGUGGAAUUCCAUGUGUAGCGGUGAAAUGCGCAGAGAUAUGGAGGAACACCAGUGGCGAAGGCGACUUUCUGGUCUGUAACUGACGCUGAUGUGCGAAAGCGUGGGGAUCAAACAGGAUUAGAUACCCUGGUAGUCCACGCCGUAAACGAUGAGUGCUAAGUGUUAGGGGGUUUCCGCCCCUUAGUGCUGCAGCUAACGCAUUAAGCACUCCGCCUGGGGAGUACGACCGCAAGGUUGAAACUCAAAGGAAUUGACGGGGACCCGCACAAGCGGUGGAGCAUGUGGUUUAAUUCGAAGCAACGCGAAGAACCUUACCAAAUCUUGACAUCCUUUGACAACUCUAGAGAUAGAGCCUUCCCCUUCGGGGGACAAAGUGACAGGUGGUGCAUGGUUGUCGUCAGCUCGUGUCGUGAGAUGUUGGGUUAAGUCCCGCAACGAGCGCAACCCUUAAGCUUAGUUGCCAUCAUUAAGUUGGGCACUCUAAGUUGACUGCCGGUGACAAACCGGAGGAAGGUGGGGAUGACGUCAAAUCAUCAUGCCCCUUAUGAUUUGGGCUACACACGUGCUACAAUGGACAAUACAAAGGGCAGCGAAACCGCGAGGUCAAGCAAAUCCCAUAAAGUUGUUCUCAGUUCGGAUUGUAGUCUGCAACUCGACUACAUGAGGCUGGAAUCGCUAGUAAUCGUAGAUCAGCAUGCUACGGUGAAUACGUUCCCGGGUCU
rnacentral:rRNA from 1 species